CAAGAUAAGUGAGCGUAUUUAAAAGCUGAUGUUUCCUCUUGUUCGGCACCUCCACGCAGGAAGACCACAAGCUGACACUGAGGAAGAAAACAAGAUCAUUCUUCAGCAGGGUUAAAUCGUCUCCACCACCAAGAUGCUGACUGUGCCUGUACUUGUUUUUGUCACGGUGGCUUUGGCCACAGCUAACGGUUCUAUUGUUGUUGUUG